UUACCGAGUGCGGGUUCCAACGAGCCCAACCUCCCACCCGUGUUUACCAUGACCGCGUUGCCUCGGCGGGCCCACUGGGGCCUGGCCCCGGUCGCCGGGGGGCUUCUGCCCCCGGGUCCGCGCCCGCCGAAGCGCCCUGGAACCCUGUCUGAAUAGUGAGUCUGAGUCUAUGAUUAAAUCAUUAAAACUUUCAACAACGGAUCUCUUGGUUCCGGCAUCGAUGAAGAACGCAGCGAAAUGCGAUAAGUAAUGUGAAUUGCAGAAUUCCGUGAAUCAUCGAAUCUUUGAACGCACAUUGCGCCCCCUGGCAUUCCGGGGGGCAUGCCUGUCCGAGCGUCAUUUCUGCCCUCCAGCCCGGCUGGGUGUUGGGUGUUGUCCCCCCGGGGACACGCCCCAAAGGCAGUGGCGGCGCCGCGUCGGGUCCUCGAGCGUAUGGGGCUUUGUCACCCGCUCGGGACGGACUCGUCGGCGCUGGUCUUCCUCCAGGCGACCCUUCGGGGCCCGUCUACCUUCGGUUGACCUCGGAUCAGGUAGGGUUACCCGCUGAACUUAAGCAUAUCAAUAAGCGGAGGAAAAGAAACCAAACAGGGAUUGCCUCAGUAACGGCGAGUGAAGCGGCAAGAGCUCAAAUUUGAAAUCUGGCUCCUUCGGGGCCCGAGUUGUAAUUUUGGGAGAGGGAUGCCUUUCGGGCGUGGCCCCCAUCUAAGUGCCCUGGGAACGGGC
rnacentral:rRNA from 1 species